GGCAUCGGGACGCGCCCGCGUUCCUCCGCGUGGGUCAGUCCUGCGCGGCCGGUGACCCUGCAGGGCUUGAGCCGGUGGGAGAGGAGAGGCCGGCUAGUCGGUGCCUGAGAAGGAAUAUGGCAUUUAUUUAUCACGGUUACUUUGGGAUGUAAUUAUCCUCGUACUGCUUACAGAGAAGUGUGAAGCUGCUUCAAAUCACACAGCUAGAAGACUGUGUGAUUGAACCUGUGGAUCCCUGUCGCGUAUUUCUGCCUGAUUCAUUUUCCAGCGACCCUGGUUAAAAUCUACAAAAAGCCACCCUAGGGCCACAGGAUGGAGAGAGAAGAAUCAAUUUUUGUCUCUUCUAUCCAGUGAGAGGAGAGUUUGACUCACCGCAUUACAUGAACCAUCAAGAACUGUGUCCAUGGAAGUGUGGUCCCAAAUGUUUGAGGAGAAAGCUCUCCUGUGUACCUUAUUGCAAGGAACA
rnacentral:lncRNA from 1 species